rnacentral:misc_RNA from 1 species
GGAAGUAAUAGUCGUAACAAGGUCUCCGUUGGUGAACCAGCGGAGGGAUCAUUACAGGACUCGCAAGACUCCUUACACCCUGUGAACCUUACUGUAUACGCGUUGCUUCGGCGGGUCCGCCCGCCGGCAGCAUACCACAUUCUGUUUCUCUGCGUUGGCAUCUCGAGAAAAAAGCAAAUAAGUUAAAACUUUCAACAACGGAUCUCUUGGUUCUG